rnacentral:lncRNA from 10 species
UUGGACCCCGACCAGAAGAUAGAGAUUGAAACGAUGAGGAAAACGAAGUGCCUAAUCCCCGCUGGACGCUAACUGCAGGGCAAGCUCCCCAGUGUUGUAGUUGUGUUUCGGAGGCCGAGAACCGCUAUCGGGCUUCCUCGGACUCUGGCCCUGGAGGGGGGAAACGGCGAGGGAGAAGGCGAAACGAGUCUCCAGUGUGUUCUUGGGGCCUGGUGCGAGGCCCAGAGAAUUCUCUGCAGGCCUUUGCCCGGGCACUGAUUAAGGCUGCGAAGAGACGCACCGGGCUGCGGGCUUAGUAGCUUCAGGCUUCUGAAGUCAGAGGGAGGGCUGAGAGCUUACACUUCUGGAGCUCCCCGGGAGACGGCAACUACCCAACCGUGUGGCACCCAGAAAUACUCUCCACACCAUGCUGCACUGCUGCGGAUGAGGGAAGGAUGGUGUCGGGGCUUCAAGACUGUUUUUCCUACCUCUUCAGUGCCUCUUUCAGUGAUAUGAAGUUAAAACCAGGAACAUGGAGGAGACAUAUUUCCACCUAUUUCUCUCCAUAAGUAUAAAAGACCAUAAAAGACCAUCUAGGGACUUCAGAACCCAAAUAAUGACACAAUGUUAAUUUGCAGGUUCUCCCUCUGCCUGCCACCCCACCCAGCAAGGAGGAGAGGAAGUGUUGAGAAGGGAAGAGAUGAGUCCUGGCCCUGUCACUUCUUAGGGGUGUGCUUUUGAACAACCUGCUCACCAUGUAUGAACUUCACUCUUCUUGUUUAUAAAAUGAGGACAAUGACACCUGCAAGACUGUGAGGUUUAAAAACAAAAUCUGUGUUGAGAGGUAACUUGCCUCUUUUACUUACCAAUGAUUUCCUCAAUGCCUGGUGACUGGGGCUGGUUCAUACUAGACGAUCAAUAAAUGCUCCUUGAAUGAAUAGGUGGAUGAAAGAAAUGUCUGGCAUCUAUCACAGGUGCUGGCACUGAUAAGUGCUUGAUAAAUAGGCUGGCUGACUGUGAGUGAUGCUGACGGGCAAAGGACAGAGACACCAGGAAGGAGAACAGGACACGAAAGAUAACUGUCUCAGCCCUUGGGGAGUUUCUGACCCAGGAGGAUGGGAACAUCAAUUAUCAAUAGUUACAGAUCAUUAAAUAAUUGCAAGUGUGAGGCGCACUAUAAAGAGGAGGCUCAGAGUCCCCGCAUGCUCACACUCACACCUGGCCACAGACAGGUGACACCCCUGGCUUGCCCAGGCCAGCGGGUCUGCAAUGAGGCCAAGGACCUGGGCUCUUGAGAAGUUUUAAGUUUGAAAACAUUGCUUUUUAAGCUUAAAACAAUGAACCUUAAUAAAAGUAAACACUUCCAUUGAGCUUUGAAACACUUAAUAGGAGUUAAAAGUAAUUAGGCUAAUAAAAUAGUCUUUUGUUCCAAUUC